rnacentral:rRNA from 1 species
UACGUAGGGUGCGAGCGUUGCCCGGAUUUAUUGGGCGUAAAAGGGCGCGUAGGCGGCUCGGCACGUCCGUUGUGAAAUCGCCCGGCUCAACUGGGCGGGGUCAGCGGAUACGGUCGAGCUUGAGCAAGCUAGGGGGGUAAUGGAAUUCCCGGUGUAGUGGUGGAAUGCGUAGAUAUCGGGGAGGAACACCAGUGGCGAAGGCGGUUACCUGGGGCUUUGCUGACGCUGAUGCGCGAAAAGCGUGGGGGAGCGAUCCGGAUUAGAAA